ACUCUCUCACCUCCAUCAUUUUCACGAAUCUCUCCUCAUUUAUCUCCUCCUUCCUCUCACAUUUUUUUCUCUCUCCUCCAUGAACUCUGAUUUCUCAUCAACUGUUCUUCAUUUCUCUUCUUCUCCCUCUCACGUUUUUCUCUCUCCUCCAAAAUCUCUCUGAGAAAUCAACUCAAAAUUUCUCUCUUCUCCAAAAUUUCUUUGUUCCUCAAAUAUGAAGGUUUUCGACAAAUUGCAACCAUGAAAUCGAAUUUAAAUGGUGAAAUUCUAAAUCUCCGAUCCUCCGCAACCCCCACCACACCUCCGCCGCCGCCACCACACUCUGAAAAAAAACUCUAGAUCAAGGCUUUAGAUGGUGAAAUUCGCCCAUAAAAACUCUAGAUCUAGAGUUUUCAUGGUCGAAUUUGACCUCUAAAUCCUCAAAAUCGUGGAUUGAUGGUGAAAUUUGACGGAAGUGUGAAGGUGGAGGAGAGUUUUCAAGCCAUCCUAUUUGUUUUCAUGUUUUUAUCCACGUGUAAUCUGAUUUAUUAAUAAAGAAAUAAAUAUCUUUACUUUUCAUCAUUUGUUUAUUGUUUUCUCUCUCCUUCUUUAUUCCAAUCACUUACACCCAAUCAUUACACAAAUACCCAAACAUUCAAAGAUUUCAGUUUUCUUAUUUUCCACACCCAUUCCCAAAUGGGAAGAACUUAAAGGAACAGAGGGAGUACUUAACUUAUAUCUCUUUUCUUGAUAUUAAUUUUCAGGGAG